GUUAUAGGGUCAAGUGACUAAGAGCAUGUGGUGGAUGCCUUGGCGAUGAUAGGCGACGAAAGACGUGAUAGCCUGCGAUAAGCUUCGGGGAGCUGGCAAAUUAGCUUUGAUCCGGAGAUUUCUGAAUGGGGAAACCCACCCGCAAGGGUAUCGCAUACUGAAUACAUAGGUAUGCGAGGCGAACCUGGAGAACUGAAACAUCUAAGUACCCAGAGGAAAAGACAUCAACCGAGAUUCCGAAAGUAGUGGCGAGCGAAAUCGGAAGAGCCUUCUAGUGAUAGUCAGACGGUUAACAAAACGGAAUGGAAAGUCCGGCCAUAGUAGGUGAUAGCCCUGUAUGUGAAAACCGACUGGUGGUACUGAGCUAGAGAAAAGUAGGGCGGGGCACGAGAAACCCUGUCUGAAUAUGGGGGG
rnacentral:rRNA from 1 species